CCCUUAGAUGUUCUGGGCUGCACGCGCGCUACACUGAAGCGUUCAACGAGCCUAUCCUUGACCGACAGGUCCGGGUAAUCUUUGAAUCUGCAUCGUGACGGGGAUAGAUUAUUGCAAUUAUUAAUCUUCAACGAGGAAUGCCUAGUAGGCGCAAGUCAUCAGCUUGCGUCGAUUACGUCCCUGCCCUUUGUACACACCGCCCGUCGCUCCUACCGAUUGGGUGUGCUGGUGAAAUGUUCGGAUCGGCCGUUUGUCGCGGUUUCCGCGUCAUGUGGCUGAGAAGUUCAUUAAACCCUCCCACCUAGAGGAAGGAGAAGUCGUAACA
rnacentral:rRNA from 1 species